rnacentral:rRNA from 1 species
AGCAGCCGCGGUGAUUCCAGCUCCAAUAGCGUAUAUUAAAGUUGUUGCAGUUAAAAAGCUCGUAGUUGAAUUUCGGGAUCAAUUUAUUGGUCGUGCUAUUGUACGUACUGGUAUUAUUGAUUCCUACCUUCUGACGAACCAUGAUGUCAUUAAUUUGGUGUCUUGGGGAAUCAGGACUGUUACUUUGAAAAAUUAGAGUGUUUAAAGCAGGCUCACGCUUGAAUACAUUAGCAUGGAAUAACGAAAUAGGACGUUUGAUUCUAUUUUGUUGGUUUCUAGGAUCGACGUAAUGAUUAAUAGGGAUAGUUGGGGGCAUUAGUAUUCAAUUGUCAGAGGUGAAAUUCUUGGAUUUAUUGAAGACUAACUACUGCGAAAGCAUUUGCCAAGGAUGUUUUCAUUAAUCAAGAACGAAAGUUAGGGGAUCGAAGACGAUCAGAUACCGUCAUAGUCUUAACCAUAAACUAU